rnacentral:sRNA from 1 species
GCUGGGCAUAGUGGCGGGUGCCUGUAAUCCCAGCUACUCGGGAGGCUGAGGCAGAAGAAUUUCUUGAACCCAGGAGGCGGAGGUUGCAGUGAGCUGAGAUCGUGCCACUGCACUCUAGCCUGGGUGACAGAGUGAGAUUCCAUCUAAAAAAAAAAAAAAAAAAGAAACAAAAAUAACUGAGUUUUCUUUUCUUUUUUGUUUUUUUUUUCUUCAGACAGAGUCUCACUGUGUCACCAGGCUGGAGUGCAGUGGCGCGACCUCAGCUCACUGCAACCUCCGCCUCCCGGGUUAACGCCAUUCUCCUGCCUCAG